UUUCGUGAAAAUUUUAAUUUAAUUUUUAAAUAUAUUCAUUUCACUCCAAGAUAAGGCGUACCAAAAAUAUAUUGUAUCCACAAGUUUAAUAAAUUAUUUACAUUAAAUACUUAUGUAUAUCAUCAUGAUAUAUGAUAUCCUCUUGUUUGAACGUAAUUGACAUCCAUUAUCAUAUAAGUGUCUUAAUAAAAAUUUGAUUGUACAAGGAAGUAAUAUUAACAAGAUUUUCAAGAAGAUUUUCAAUUUCAGCAAGUUACAGAAUUAUUACUCGUAGAAUUUCAAGUCUAAAACUAAUCUGAAACUAAAAACUUCGUUGCGAAGAGAGUUGCACGAAUCGUGGAAUUUCAACUGCAAACAUUUCUUAUCAAAAAUGAAGCCACGAUGAAUCGAGACGUGUUGUCACUCGUUAAUCUCCUUGUUAACACGAAAGAAGCUAUCUUGAAGGAUCUUCUGUACGAUGGAAAUACAGUUUUGACGUAGUUUGUGCCAUUUUUCGAUAAUUCAUGGCGA